CCUACGGGAGGCAGCAGUGGGGAAUAUUGGACAAUGGGCGCAAGCCUGAUCCAGCAAUGCCGCGUGAGUGAUGAAGGCCUUAGGGUCGUAAAGCUCUUUUACCAGGGAUGAUAAUGACAGUACCUGGAGAAUAAGCUCCGGCUAACUCCGUGCCAGCAGCCGCGGUAAUACGGAGGGAGCUAGCGUUGUUCGGAAUUACUGGGCGUAAAGCGUACGUAGGCGGUUAUUCAAGUCAGAGGUGAAAGCCCGGGGCUCAACCCCGGAACGGCCUUUGAAACUAGGUAGCUAGAAUCUUGGAGAGGUCAGUGGAAUUCCGAGUGUAGAGGUGAAAUUCGUAGAUAUUCGGAAGAACACCAGUGGCGAAGGCGACUGACUGGACAAGUAUUGACGCUGAGGUACGAAAAGCGUGGGGAGCAAACAGGAUUAGAUACCCUGGUAGUCCACGCCGUAAACGAUGAUAAACUAGCUGUCCGGGCACUUGGUGCCUGGGUGGCGCAGCUAACGCAUUAAAGUUAUCCGCCUGGGGAGUACGGUCGCAAAGAUUAAAAACUCAAAAUGAAUAGAGG
rnacentral:rRNA from 1 species